CUUGUAUGUUUAAAGGAUCCACCAGUUCCGUGGACUGGGAUCUGGUUGAUUGCAUUGGCUUUCCUUUUGGUCUUUUACAACAAAAACUCUUCAGAAAUAAAAGUAAGCAAUUUUGAUGUUCUUGAGAGGAAAUGUAGUUUGUAUCUUUUGAAUGCAAUACAUGUAUUUCGGUAAGGGACAUGAUUCAGAGGUCAGGAACUAGUAUUCAGUUUACUCGUAACUUUACUGCAUUUUAAGUUGUACUUUGCCCAUUUAUUUAUCAAGUUCAUAAUAUUUGCCAAUUGCAAACUGUAAUUUCAUCACUUACAGAAUUGUCACUAAUUAUAUGAUGUUCCUAGAACUUCUAGUAGGGUGUGCUACUUUUAUGAGUUUGUUAUUUCGUAAUUGUUCUUUUAGGCUGACUUCCAUGGGAACCAUCUAAGUUCCAACUGAAAAUGUUUUCUUUCAAGGUUUAACUUGCAGCUGCUAUUGUCUUACAAACUAGCAUGAACACUGGGUUCCCCGGAUCAAAGAGAAUAAAUAAUAUGUGGAUUUCUAUCCAACUGAGGAUAGUGUCUUGUGGAAGUCGUGUUUUGCUUUCUUUUUCAUUUAUCUAUUUUUUCCAGUGAACUUCCUUUUUAAUUUAUUGAUACCCUCAAAUGACAUGUCUCAAGAAAUACUUACCUGUAUCGGAGUGUAUAUGGAAG
rnacentral:lncRNA from 1 species